GGGAGGUAGUGACAAUAAAUAACAAUACGGGGUUCUUUAGGAUCUCGUAAUUGGAAUGAGUACAAUUUAAAUCUCUUAACGAGGAACAAUUGGAGGGCAAGUCUGGUGCCAGCAGCCGCGGUAAUUCCAGCUCCAAUAGCGUAUAUUAAAGUUGUUGCAGUUAAAAAGCUCGUAGUUGAAUUUCGGGGUUAGUAGGUUGGUCAUGCCUCUGGUAUGUACUGGUCUCACUGAUUCCUCCUUCCUGAUGAGCCGUAAUGCCAUUAAUUUGGUGUUGCGGGGAAUUUGGACUGUUACUUUGAAAAAUUAGAGUGUUUAAAGCAGGCUCACGCUUGAAUACAUUAGCAUGGAAUAAUGAAAUAGGACGUUUGAUUCUAUUUUGUUGGUUUCUAGGAUCGACGUAAUGAUUAAUAGGGAUAGUUGGG
rnacentral:rRNA from 1 species